UGGACCUUCCGUGGUCAAUCACAGUCCACCAAAUCCAGGCUUUUUCUCCCACACUCUCACUCACACUCUAUUUCCCUCACUCCUCGUUUCGCCCAAAUCCUCUCCCCCUAGGGUUUAGGUUUUCUCUGCACCUUUCCCAUGGCUUCCUCGUCAUCUGAUCCUGCCUUCAAACACGAACCCGGUGCUUCUUGCGCUGCUGCUGCUGGAGGAGGAACCCCGGAGUCUUCCGAGGUUGUAAUGGCGAACGAUCAGCUUUUACUUUACAGAGGAUUCAAGAAAGCCAAGAAAGAACGAGGUUGCACUGCCAAAGAGCGCAUCAGUAAAAUGCCUCCAUGUGCUGCUGGGCAAAGGAGUUCCAUAUACCGCGGAGUCACUAGACAUAGAUGGACUGGUCGUUAUGAAGCUCAUCUUUGGGAUAAAAGUACCUGGAACCAGAACCAGAACAAGAAGGGAAAGCAAGUGUAUCUGGGAGCAUAUGAUGAAGAAGAGGCAGCUGCUAGGGCAUACGAUUUGGCAGCCUUAAAAUAUUGGGGUCCUGGGACUCUUAUUAAUUUUCCAGUGACUGAUUAUACUAGGGACCUUGAAGAAAUGCAGACUGUUUCAAGAGAGGAAUAUCUUGCGUCUCUAAGAAGAAAGAGCAGUGGAUUCUCCAGGGGAAUAUCUAAAUAUCGUGGUCUCUCGAGUCCGUUCGGUCGUAUGCCAGGCCUGGAUUGUGUCAACAGCAUAAUUUAUGGUGCCGGGGAUGAUCAAGCAACAGUAAGCGAAUUCAUCCACAACUUCUGCAUUGAAAGGAAGAUCGACUUAACAAGUUACAUUAAGUGGUGGGGGCCCAACAAAAAUCGAACGUCUAGUGUUGGAUCGAAGUUGUCAGAAGAAGACAAACAUAGUAGCGUUGGAGAAGUAGACAGUGAACUCAAAGCUCUUGGACAGACCACCUGUCCCACAGAGCCAUAUGAGAUGCCCUGUUUGGGUACAUUACAUGGGGUAAAGAAGGUUGCUUCGAAGGUCUCUGCUUUAAGUAUUUUGUCACGGUCAGCAGCCUACAAGAGUUUGCAGCAGAAAGCUUUGAAAUUAGAGGAAAUUAACAAUGAGAAUGAUGAGAACGAAAAUAAAAACAGUGUCAACAAGAUAGAUCAUGGGAAAGCUGUUGAAACACAUGCAAGUCAUGGAGGUGAUCCCAGUGAGAAAUAUGGGGUUGCUUUUGGAGCAAGUGGUGGAUUGCCACUUCAGAGAAAUAUGUUCCCCUUGACUCCAUUCUUAACUGCACCUCUUCUUAGCAGUUACAACACUGUUGAUCCCUUGGGAGAUCCGAUUCAUUGGACAUCGCUCGUUUCUGUUCUUCCUACUGGACUUUCUCGUACUGCCGAGGUUACAAAGACUGAAACCUCUUCAACUUACACUUUGUUUCGACCGGAGGAAUAAAGUUCAAGGAAUUUAUUAUCUCCCCCCCAGGAUGGGGUUUGAGUUGAACUUGAUUGGACAGCGCUCGAUGCUGAUAUUGCUGGAUCCCUAAAUGAGAAUAAGCUUUAAGGGGUAGAGAUUUACAUAAAUCAAAAUAUCACAAGAACACGAUACACACACAUCAUACUUACUGUCGCCUGAGGCUUUUCUUGGUUUUCCCUACAUGCAGGAGGGCGAUGAACACGAAAGGAACCUCAUAAAGUUUAAGAAGAAACGAAAUAUAGUCCUAGAAGAUCACACGUUUGUUUUAUAUCUUGCAUUUGUAUCUAUCUGAUAGUUACAAAUUUAAAUUUGAUUCUUUCUCGAAUAUCUGUAUUACUUGUGACAUUUAUAUCCAGUUAUCGAUAUCAAGAUCUCGCCCGCCCUUAGAGCUGAUCCAUGGAAGGAUGGGAAUGGCUGGUACCUUGCCUUUGAAAAGACACUCUGAUGACAUUUGCCCUGCAGCGCCCUUAGAAGAGAAGGUAAUUUUCUCUUAUCAAAUUUCAAAUGACAUCCAUUUUCUGCAGCAGUUUACUUUAGGAUAUCAGCUUGGCUUCUGCUAGAGUAUUUGUUUACCCCUACAAGUAAACUAAUCCUAAAGAUUAGACUUCGAUUGCUUUGAAAAUGACUUGUAGUCACUGCAGUAGAAGAAAAAGUCGAUAGAAAUGAAAUCUUUUUAAAUUGAAAUAUAAUGUUAA